UAUGUGAGGGAAUGACAAAUAACCCUUUCUUUAUAAUGCAAAUUAGUCAGGGACAAAAGGAAUGUACCUAAGGAGGAGUGAUAUGCCCCAGUGAACAUACACUCACUGUAUGCAGGUAAAAGCUCAUACAUGCAGUGAGCAGAGAUGAGACUGGCUGUAGCUGUGCCUACAUGAAGCUGUAAUUGAUGUCUCAUCCUGAUAUUCUUGAUGUAUAUAGUUGAUUUUGGACACCUUAAUAUCAACUGAAGUGACUUCAUGCAGUCAAGGGUCUUCUACCCUCUUUUGUUUAGUUGAACAUCAUGAAAUAAAGAUUGGCCUCAUACCCAAUAGAACCGCAA